rnacentral:lncRNA from 1 species
AUCAUGGUUGGGUUGAUGGUUAUUGGGUCCAUGGAGAUGGUCUUUGGGGCCAUCAUCGUUGGGUUGAUGGUCAUUGAGGUGAUGGAGAUGGGUCUUGGGGAGAUGGAGAUGGUCUUUGAGGCCAUCAUCGUUGGGUUGAUGGUCACUGGGGCUACAGGGAUGGUCACUGGGGCCAUGGAGAUGGUCUUGAGGAGAUGGAGAUGGUCUUUAGGGCCAUCAU